rnacentral:rRNA from 1 species
GACGAACGCUGGCGGCGCGCCUAACACAUGCAAGUCGAACGAGCGAGAGAGAGCUUGCUUUCUCAAGCGAGUGGCGAACGGGUGAGUAACGCGUGAGGAACCUGCCUCAAAGAGGGGGACAACAGUUGGAAACGACUGCUAAUACCGCAUAAGCCCACGACCCGGCAUCGGGUAGAGGGAAAAGGAGCAAUCCGCUUUGAGAUGGCCUCGCGUCCGAUUAGCUAGUUGGUGAGGUAACGGCCCUCCAAGGCGACGAUCGGUAGCCGGACUGAGAGGUUGAACGGCCACAUUGGGACUGAGACACGGCCCAGACUCCUACGGGAGGCAGCAGUGGGGAAUAUUGCACAAUGGGGGAAACCCUGAUGCAGCGACGCCGCGUGGAGGAAGAAGGUCUUCGGAUUGUAAACUCCUGUUGUUGAGGAAGAUAAUGACGGUACUCAACAAGGAAGUGACGGCUAACUACGUG